UGGUACAAAUUUGCAAGCAGCUUGACAGGAUACAUUGCCCAUUUCGCAAUAACAACGCCUGUCGCAACCAGUAACAUUCGAAGGUGACUUCACUAUCCACUCCAAGAUGGCGCAUUUCUCGUGAACAAGAUUUGCUUACUGGCUAAAUAAAAGAGGCUCGCCGAGUAUAAAUGGAAGUAGUCUACAUUCCAAUCAUAUGAACAUGUAACACUCUCUUUAACUAAUGUAUGUCAUUGUUUGAUAUGAAAAUCUUCGAUUAAUUAGGUAGGUAGAUACUCAGCCACUGAUUUAGAAGAAGUUAAGUAAAAAAUUGGAAUUAUUUAUAAAUAAUAAAAUAGUCAAAUUAAAUAAAAAUUGAAUAGUAGAGAUAGGUAGCGAGGUAGGAGGAGGUUUCUGGACAGCGAGGGGGGUAAGACAGGGGUGCCCACUGAGUCCGACGUUGUUUAACAUGGUGCUGGCAGACCUGGAGGAGGAAAUGGGAAAAGUGAAGUGGGGAGGGGUGAAGCUGAGAGAGCGCAGGAUUUUCUCGCUAUCAUAUGCGGACGAUAUGGUGUUGAUAGCGGAGACGGAGGACGAGAUGAGAAGUAUGAUAGAAAGGCUGGAGAGAUAUUUGGACAAGAAAGGUCUGGAGGUAAACGUAGAGAAAACGAAGAUUAUGAGGUUUAGAAGAGGAGGAGGCAGAAGAAGGAAGAUGAAUUGGAGAUGAAAAGGAAAAAGAAUUGAGAAGGUAAGAGAAUAUAAAUACCUAGGGUAUAUACUACAAUCAAACGGAGGACAGGAAGCACAUAUCAAGGAUAGAGUGAGAAAAGCAGCGGCGGUAAUGGGUCAAGUCUGGGGGAUUGGGAAGAGAAGAUAUGAGAAGGAUUGGGGAAGGAGAAUUUGGAUCUUCGAUAAAUUAGUAUGGACGGUACUGGAGUAUGGAGUGGAGGUUUGGGGAUGGAGGGAAAGGGAGAGUGUGGAAAGAAUGCAAGAGAGGUUUCUAAGAUGGAUACUGGGAGUAGAGAGUAGAACCCCGGGAUAUUUGGUGAGGGAAGAGUGGAAGAGAGAGAAAUUGAGAAUAAGAGCGGGGAGAAGGGCUUGGGGUUUUGAGAGGAGGGCAAGGGAGGGAAGAGGAGGAGUAUGGGUGAGAGAAUGCAUGGUAAAGAUGAGAGAGAGAGCAGAGAGGAGAAGGGAACUCUCGAAAUGGGAGAUGGAAAGGAGAGAGUUCUUCGAAAUGAGAGGAAAGGAUGUCGGGGAGAUGGAGGGAGAGGGAGGAGAGGAAUGAGAGGAAGUUGAGGAGACGGAGAGAAGACUACAAAGGGAGGAGAGAAGGGAGAGGAUAAGAGAUACGAGAUAUAAUGUAUGGUACAAGUGGAUUAGAGAGGAGGACAUACCGGAAUAUUUAAGGAGGGGAUGGGGAGAGAGUAGGUGGAGAAGAGUGGCAAGGUUUAGACUGGGAAAUGAAAUACUGGAGAGUAGAUAUUGGGAGGAUGAGGAGAAAAGAGUUUGCAGGUUGUGCGGAGGGGAAAGAGAAUCAUGGGAGCAUGUAUGGGAAAGAUGUAGACGGUGGGAGAAGGGGGGAGAGGGAAGCUGGCAGGAGGCAUAUGGGAGGAUCUUGGGGGGAGCGGGAGAGGGAGAGGGUUGGAUGAGCGAGAUGGAGGAGGAGAGGGAGAGAUUUGGGAGGAAGGAGGAGUGAGAGAGGAUGGAGGGUGAGAGAGGAGUAAAUGGAAGGAACGAAAGUAAAGAAUUGUAAACGGAAACGGAAGUCCAUAGGCUUAAGGUUAGGUAGGAUGCGGCGCGAGAGAGAGAGAGGUCACGUAGGUAGAAUUAAGUAGGAUAAGGUCAAAGGAGCGAGCGGAAAGAGAAGAGUGAGUUGAGAUAGAGCGUAUAGGGAGGCGAGCGAGAUGAGAGGCAAGGUGGCGAGCGGCGUACUGUAAGAGCGAUAUUUGUAUAAAAAGGUGUAAAGGUUU